AUUGAACGCUGGCGGCAUGCCUUACACAUGCAAGUCGAACGGCAGCACGGGAGCAAUCCUGGUGGCGAGUGGCGAACGGGUGAGUAAUAUAUCGGAACGUGCCCAGUCGUGGGGAUAACGUAGCGAAAGCUACGCUAAUACCGCAUACGAUCUAUGGAUGAAAGCGGGGGAUCGCAAGACCUCGCGCGAUUGGAGCGGCCGAUAUCAGAUUAGGUAGUUGGUGAGGUAAAGGCUCACCAAGCCAACGAUCUGUAGCUGGUCUGAGAGGACGACCAGCCACACUGGAACUGAGACACGGUCCAGACUCCUACGGGAGGCAGCAGUGGGGAAUUUUGGACAAUGGGCGCAAGCCUGAUCCAGCAAUGCCGCGUGCAGGAUGAA
rnacentral:rRNA from 1 species